rnacentral:rRNA from 1 species
AGUGAACGCUGGCGGUAGGCCUAACACAUGCAAGUCGAACGGCAGCACAGUAAGAGCUUGCUCUUACGGGUGGCGAGUGGCGGACGGGUGAGGAAUACAUCGGAAUCUACUUUUUCGUGGGGGAUAACGUAGGGAAACUUACGCUAAUACCGCAUACGACCUACGGGUGAAAGCAGGGGAUCUUCGGACCUUGCGCGAUUGAAUGAGCCGAUGUCGGAUUAGCUAGUUGGCGGGGUAAAGGCCCACCAAGGCGACGAUCCGUAGCUGGUCUGAGAGGAGGAUCAGCCACACUGGAACUGAGACACGGUCCAGACUCCUACGGGAGGCAGCAGUGGGGAAUAUUGGACAAUGGGCGCAAGUCUGAUCCAGCCAUACCGCGUGGGUGAAGAAGGCCUUCGGGUUGUAAAGCCCUUUUGUUGGGAAAGAAAAGCAGCAGGUUAAUACCCAGCUGUUCUGACGGUACCCAAAGAAUAAGCACCGGCUAACUUCGUG